rnacentral:misc_RNA from 1 species
GAAAUGCGAUAAGUAGUGUGAAUUGCAGAAUUCAGUGAAUCAUCGAAUCUUUGAACGCACAUUGCGCCCCUUGGUAUUCCAUGGGGCAUGCCUGUUCGAGCGUCAUUUGUACCUUCAAGCUUUGCUUGGUGUUGGGUGUUUGUCUCGCCUCUGCGCGCAGACUCGCCGCAAAACAAUUGGCAGCCGGCGUAUUGAUUUCGGAGCGCAGUACAUCUCGCGCUUUGCACUCAUAACGACGACGUCCAAAAAGUACAUUUUUUACACUCUUGACCUCGGAUCAGGUAGGGAUACCCGCUGAACUUAAGC